rnacentral:rRNA from 1 species
ACCCGCUGAACUUAAGCAUAUCAAUAAGCGGAGGAAAAGAAACCAACAGGGAUUGCCCCAGUAACGGCGAGUGAAGCGGCAACAGCUCAAAUUUGAAAUCUGGAGCCGUAGCGGCUUCCGAGUUGUAAUUUGCAGAGGGUGUCUCGGAGGGCGGGUCGGUCCAAGUGCCUUGGAACAGGAUACCAAAGAGGGUGAGAGUCCCGUAUCCGGCCGAUUUCGCGCUCCGUGUGAGGCCCCUUCGACGAGUCGAGUUGUUUGGGAAUGCAGCUCUAAGCGGGUGGUAAAUUCCAUCUAAAGCUAAAUACCGGCCAGAGACCGAUAGCGAACAAGUAGAGUGAUCGAAAGAUGAAAAGCACUUUGAAAAGAGAGUCAAACAGUACGUGAAACUGUUGAAAGGGAAGCGCAUGGGGGCAGACUUGGACGCGGGGUUCAGGACGUCUGGUUGACGUCUGUACUUCCCCGCGGACAGGCCAGCAUCGGUCUUGGGGGCCGGACAAAGACGGCGGGAAUGUGGCUCUCUUCGGAGAGUGUUAUAGCCUGGCGUGCAAUGCGGCCACCUGGGACCGAGGACCGCGCUUCGGCAAGGAUGCUGGCGUAAUGGCCUCAUGCGGCCCGUCUUGAAACACGG